CGUAGGUGGCAAGCGUUGUCCGGAUUUACUGGGCGUAAAGCGUAUGCAGGCGGGCCUUUAAGUAGGAAGUGAAAGGUUGGAGCUCAACUCUAACACUGCUCCCUAUACUGGAGGUCUUGAGUGCCGGAGAGGAAGAUGGAACUACACGUGUAGCGGUGAAAUGCGUUGAGAUGUGUAGGAACACCAAUGGCGAAAGCAAUCUUCUGGACGGAUACUGACGCUGAGAUACGAAAGCCAAGGGAGCGAACAGGAUUAGAUACCCUGGUAGUCUUGGCCAUAAACGAUGUUCACUAGGUGUUGGGGGGUUUCCCUCGGUGCCGCAGCUAACGCAUUAAGCGAACCGCCUGGGGACUACGGCCGCAAGGUUG
rnacentral:rRNA from 1 species